rnacentral:rRNA from 1 species
GAUUAACGCUGGCGGCGUGCAUAACACAUUCAAGUCGAACGGAUGUAGAAAUACAUUAGUGGCGGCGCGGGAUGGGGUCGCGGCCCAUUAGGUAGUAGGCGGGGUAACGGCCCACCUAGCCCGCGAUGGGUAGCCGGACUGAGAGGUCGAUCGGCCACAUUGGGACUGAGAUACGGCCCAGACUCCUACGGGAGGCAGCAGGUGGGGUAAUUUUGCGCAAUGGGGGAAACCCUGACGCAGCAACGCCGCGUGCGGGAUGGAGGCCUUCGGGUUGUAAACCGCUUUCAGCAGGGACGAUUGUGACGGUACCUGCAGAAGAAGCUCCGGCUAACUACGUG